AUAUUUAUUUUAUAUUUUUGGAUAGUGGGGAUAGUGAAAAAAUUCAUAUCGGAUGUUUGUGAGUACACUUGUACUUGAACGACCUAAAUCUCGCUAGAGUUUAUCGUAUCUGCUAGACUUAUCGCUAGUGUUUAUAUCUAUGUAUAUAUAAACAUUGACAACACCGUCUAUCAUUUCUGCUACUUUAUUUAUUGCCGAUGUAAACACGAGCCGUCAGUCUCUAUCGAUCUUUUGACGUAGUAACAAGUUAAAAUCAUAUUGGUCCAAUGUGAAAUACUUUUAAUUGAUUGCUUCGAUUUUUCUUUCAAUGAUAUUCGUUAUCUUCACGAAUUCCACAGGAACAGCAUACUAUUAGUGGUAAGUAAAUAUAAGCGAAAGCGGAACAUACAUAAUAUGUGUAACACAAGCAAAAUACGAAACUGAUAUUUCUCCUAUAUCUAAAAUUAUGAUCAGAAGAGGUCAUUUAGUUCGAAACAUGUAGGAUCAAAGAGAAAUUGAGAUGCUCUUUAGAGGAAAGCUUUAAUUUCAAAGCCGGUUCACGAUGAUAAUAGUUGGUAAUCAGGUUUAUAAUUUCGACAGUGUUCUCCAUAGUAAAAAGCUUCGCGUAGUCAAAAAAAAAAGAAAUAAAUAAAAGGAAAAAAAAUAUAUAUAAAAAUUAAAAAUCAUUCAAUUUCAAUAAAAGUAUCAAAUACUUCCAUAACUUUUGUGUAUUCGUAUUUCAUAGUAUGACAACGAUUACAGUUCAAAGGAUUCUAAUCGAAUUCAUGGUACUCGAUCGUCACGAUCCGUCAUAGUGAUUCUCCGUUAUCCGGACACGCACGAGCACUCUCGAUAAUCGUGAUAUAGCACACCUUCAGAUGCGUUUCCCAGCCCGAAUUGGUUAUUUGAUUCGAGAAAGCUCGUGGUCAAAUAGAUUUUUCGAAAUUUCAGAAAGCUUGUACUUAUCUCUUUUUUCUUUUUCUUUUUCUCUUCCUCUUGUUUUACAGACAGCACUUUUGUUAGAGAAUAUUUCGUACGGUUCGAAAUCGAGUAACAAGACGUAUCUACAUAUGUACAUGAAUAUGUUAACACAUGUGAAAUAAAAGAUAACGAGAGUAUGUAUGUAUAUACGUAAUCGCGUAGGAACUUUAUAAAUUAAUAAAAAUGAUAUAAUGUAAACGAGUAAAAUAAUAAAUUGUCGGAAACAUUUAUCUUUUUCUCCAGACCCGAGAGAAUUAUGAAAGUCCAUCAAAGUAUGAUAAAUUAAUUUGUAUUUUACUUCCUUUUUUCUUUUAUAAAAAAAUGUUCAUCAAAAUUGUAUAAUCAGAGAUAAUAGUGGACAGACGAUGUAGACGGACAAUAAUAGCAAUUCUAUGUCGUUAUAAUAUAGAAUUCCAUAAGAUGAGGAAUACCCGUAGACAAAUAAUUGUAAAAACACAUGAAUACACGUUUGUCUCUUUGUUUCAUUAAAUAAAUAAAUAAAUAAAAAGAAAA